UCCCCGGUGGCUCAGUUGGUAAAGAAUUUGCCUGCAAUGCAGGAGACCCAGGUUCAAUCCCUGGGUGGGGAA